AUUGAACGCUGGCGGCAGGCUUAACACAUGCAAGUCGAGCGGGGUGAUGGUGCUUGCACUAUCACUUAGCGGCGGACGGGUGAGUAAUGCUUAGGAAUCUGCCUAUUAGUGGGGGACAACAUCUCGAAAGGGAUGCUAAUACCGCAUACGUCCUACGGGAGAAAGCAGGGGAUCACCUGUGACCUUGCGCUAAUAGAUGAGCCAAAGUCGGAUUAGCUAGUUGGUGGGGUAAAGGCCUACCAAGGCGACGACCUGUAGCGGGUCUGAGAGGAUGAUCCGCCACACUGGGGCUGAGACACGGCCCAGACUCCUACGGGAGGCAGCAGUGGGGAAUAUUGGACAAUGGGGGGAACCCUGAUCCAGCCAUGCCGCGUGUGUGAAGAAGGCCUUAUGGUUGUAGAGCACUUUAAGCGAGGAGGAGGCUCUUUUGGUUAAUACCCAAGAUGAGUGGACGUUACUCGCAGAAUAAGCACCGGCUAACUCUGUGCCAGCCGCCGCCGUAA
rnacentral:rRNA from 1 species